rnacentral:lncRNA from 1 species
UUACAACAAAAUUAUCAUACCAAUAAGAUGGCAUAAAACACCGUAGAAAAUAAGAAUAGAGGCUCAGCCCCCUCCUAGGGGGAUAAUGCUUCUUUUUAAUCUUGAGUAAAAAUGACAGUUACUGUAGACCAAACAAGUUGUCACCGCUUUAAAAAAGCAGGAAAAAAAUGCAGUUUUGCACAAUAAUUUAAAAUUUGAUAUCAAAUCCGGAGAAAAACAACAUGGAACGCGAAGAUAAAUAUGUUACAACCAUCACGCCUGUCAAGUUGCUCUUUCAUAGCAGGAUCUAACUCAUUCUCUAUAGCACCCUCGUUGAAACCGAGCUUGGGUGAAAAUAUAACAGAUGCCAUGUCUUUAGACAUUGUAGUUUUGCUCGGCAUUGAAACAUUGUUACUGUCAUUAUUGAUGCAGCCAGAAGAGAAACUAUUUGAUUAAGAAAGUAUAAAGAGAGAUCCAUGGAAUCAGCAAAGGAUAAUAUGGUUUUCGUUCCCCUUAAACGAGAAAACAACAGUCAUAACUAAAUCAUUAAGUAAAACAAAGAGGACACGGAAAGGAGCCAGCCAACCUUGUCUCCAUGUGAAAAUAUAACAGAUGCCAUGUCUUUAGACAUUGUAGUUUUGCUCGGCAUUGAAACAUUGUUACUGUCAUUAUUGAUGUAGCCAGAAGAGAAAUUAUUUGAUUAAUAAAGUAUGAAGAGAGAUCCCUGGAAUCAGCAAAGGAUAAUAUGGUUUUCGUUCCCCUUAAACGAGAAAACAGCAGUCAUAACUAAAUCAUUAAGUAAAACAAAGAGGACACGGAAAGGAGCCAGCCAACCUUGUCUCCAUGUGAAAAUAUAACAGAUGCCAUGUCUUUAGACAUUGUAGUUUUACUCGGCAUUGAAACAUUGUUACUGUCAUCAUUGAUUCAGCCAGAAGAGAAAC